rnacentral:rRNA from 1 species
ACGCGAAAGGCCCCUUCGGGGGCCGAGUAGAGUGGCGCACGGGUGAGUAACACGUAGGUAAUCUACCUCUGGGUGGGGAAUAACAGCCGGAAACGGCUGCUAAUACCGCAUAACGCAGCGGCACCACAUGGUGACAGUUGUUAAAGCGGGGGAACUUCGGUCCUCGCGCCUGGAGAGGAGCCUGCGGCGGAUUAGCUAGUUGGUAGGGUAACGGCCUACCAAGGCGACGAUCCGUAGCCGGCCUGAGAGGGCGGUCGGCCACACUGGCACUGACAUACGGGCCAGACUCCUACGGGAGGCAGCAGUCGGGAAUUUUGGGCAAUGGGCGCAAGCCUGACCCAGCAACGCCGCGUGAAGGAUGAAGUUUCUCGGAAUGUAAACUUCACAAGAAUGGGAAGAAUAAGAUGGGGUUAAUACCCCCGUCGAUGACGGUACCAUUUGUAAGCUCCGGCUAACUCCGUGCCAGCAGCCGCGGUAAUACGGGGGGAGCAAGCGUUGUUCGGAUUUACUGGGCGUAAAGGGCGCGUAGGCGGCGCAACAAGUCACUUGUGAAAUCUCCGGGCUUAACUCGGAGCGGCCAAGUGAUACUGUCGUGCUAGAGUGCGGAAGGGGCUACUGGAAUUCUCGGUGUAGCGGUGAAAUGCGUAGAUAUCGAGAGGAACACCUGCGGCGAAGGCGGGUAGCUGGGGCGACACUGACGCUGAGGCGCGAAAGCUAGGGGAGCGAACGGGAUU